UACGGGGGGAGCAAGCGUUGUUCGGAUUUACUGGGCGUAAAGGGCGCGUAGGCGGUCGUGACAAGUCACUUGUGAAAUCUCCGGGCUUAACUCGGAACGGUCAAGUGAUACUGUCGGACUAGAGUACAGAAGGGGCAACUGGAAUUCUCGGUGUAGCGGUGAAAUGCGUAGAUAUCGAGAGGAACACCUGCGGCGAAGGCGGGUUGCUGGGCUGAUACUGACGCUGAUCUGCGAAAGCUAGGGGAGCAAACAGG
rnacentral:rRNA from 1 species